AGUUGUUGCCAUAUGACCAGAAGGUCACGGGUUUAAGCCUUGGAAACAGCCUCUAACAGAAAUGCAAGGUAAGGCUGCGUACGAUAUACUCUUGUGGUGGAGUCCUUCUCCGGACACCGCAUAUAGUGAUAGCUUUAGUGCACCGGGUUGUCCUAUCAAAAAUCACCUUCGUUUCCUAUCCAAUACAUCCAGUUGCUGGACUAUUUUGUGACUAUCCAAACUCAAGGUUAUUAUUUUGUAUACUACCACACCCAAAAAAAAAAGGGUUACUAAUUUUUUGUAUAAACCAAAAAAAAAUAAUUUAGGGAUUUGAAAUUGAGAAAAAAAAUUGAAUUGGAUUUCUUGUCUCUCACCGUCUAAGCACACACACUCUCAUUCUCUCUCUAUUCUCUAUGAUUCUUGCUUUAUGAUUCUUUGUUCUGAGUUAAUUCUUGUUAGGAACCCUAAUUUGGUCUAGUAUUCCUAUCAAUUUGAUUGAAUUGUAACAUACUUAAGAGAGAAUUAUCAUAAAGUAAAUUACUUUCAGGAGGACAAAAACAAGAAUUUCCAAAAAUAAAGUGAUUUUUUUCUUCUUAAUUGAGUGUCUUUGUCAUCAGUUUUGUCAGUGAGCCUCUUUCCCAUUUUCUCUGCGCGUUUAAAUUUUAACCAUAUUUUUCAUAGGGGUGAAAUCUUCAGAUAAUUGAGCUCCACGGAAUUUUAUGUGAAAUGUUUUAGAUGUCUAUUUUCUUGAUAAUCACAUCAAAAUUACUAGUAUAAAAAGAAUAAAUAAGCAGCAUUAUACUGAAGUAGGGGUAAUAAAGUAACUAGAUUUGGCAGCUACAUGGAGGAUGACAAUAAGACCACCUACAAAUGCAAGGAUUACUACAAGGUUCUUGAAGUGGAAUAUGAUGCAUCCGAUGAGAAGAUCAGAUUAAACUAUAGGAAACUUGCACUGAAGUGGCAUCCCGACAAACACAAGUGUAAUGAUGCAGCAACCACUAAAUUUCAAGAGAUUAAUGAAGCUUAUUCGGUGUUAAGUGAUCCUCAUAAGAGACUUGACUAUGAUCUAAAUGGAAACUAUGAGAUAAAUAAUUAUACUUUGCCAGAAUAUCUAGCAAGAUUCAAAGGGAUGAUACUUACCUGUAAUGGGCUUGGCAUAAGUCAAGAUUCAGUCUGGUCAGAGCAAUUAACAGAUUUUAACAAGUUGAUGGACAAAUGAAAGAGGGUGGUCAUCUUUUUUUCUCGUUUCCACACUCAUCGCCUUUCGAAUGAUAAUAUGCAUUCUGCUUCAGCCACUCGAAUUAUCGAUAUUCCAGUUUGGUUUCAAUUUUUUUUUUUUGGGACAUAGCAAGUACGUGCAUCGGUGCAUGCACCUCCUCGAUGAUGGCUCGAAUCAACACUUGUUUUGGUCCCUUAUUGUCUUGGAAUACUCUGGAGUUUCUUUCCAGCCACAAAUGGUACGCUGCAGCUGCUACGGUCAUCUUGUAUACACCUGCACCAGCACUAUGACCCCUGCAAUGUUGGACUGCCCAUCUGCCUUCAUCUCUCCAGCUCGUGCAUCGUGGAUGUACACCUUGCCAUUGUAGCAAUGCAUUCCACACUUCUGCUGCAACUCCACACUGAAAAGAAGAUGUUGAAUGUUCUCACCUGGUUGUUGACAUAGUCCACACUUCUGAUCACUUAAAAUGCCCCAUCUGCUUAGCCUUUCUUUAGUAGCUAGCUUCUCUAGAAUGCCCAGUCUGAGCACAAAUAUCCACUUUGGAGAACCAUGAUUAUUGCAAACCAACUUCCUACCAACUAACUAUUUUAUAUUUUCAAAUUUCGAUUUAUUUA